GAGUUUGAUCAUGGCUCAGAAUCAACGCUGGCGGCGUGCCUAACACAUGCAAGUCGAGCGCGAAAGUUCCCGCAAGGGGAUGAGUAGAGCGGCGCACGGGUGAGUAACACGUGGGUAACCUACCCUACAGUGGGGAAUAACUCCGCGAAAGCGGGGCUAAUACCGCAUAACACCUCCGGGAUGCCUGUCCUGGAGGUCAAAGGAGCAAUUCGCUGAAGGAGGGGCCCGCGGCCGAUUAGCUAGUUGGUGAGGUAACGGCUCACCAAGGCAAUGAUCGGUAUCCGGCCUGAGAGGGCGCACGGACACACUGGAACUGAAACACGGUCCAGACUCCUACGGGAGGCAGCAGUGGGGAAUUUUGCGCAAUGGGGGAAACCCUGACGCAGCAACGCCGCGUGGAGGAUGAAGGGCUUCGGCUCGUAAACUCCUUUCGAUCGGGACGAGAAGAAGACGGUACUGGAAGAAGAAGCCCCGGCUAACUACGUGCCAGCAGCCGCGGUAAUUC
rnacentral:rRNA from 1 species